UGAUGACAUCAACCGACUGGAGUCUCUGACCUGCUGGUGAUCGAUAACAUCGUGUUGGAAUUCUUCUUUCCCCGUCUGA